UCUCCCCAGGCUAUCUCCUGGGCUUAGCCUGGGUGUACCUGCUGGCAAUUAGCUCCUCAAGCCAAUCAGGCGCCGAGCACAGCCCUCGGUCCCCUUGACUGGGGUGAUUUAUAAAUGACUCACGGGCCCUUGGAGCGCAGACCUCUGCACAGCUCCUGGCAGCACCUCUCCUGCCCCAUCCGCACCCCGCGCCAUCGGCCGCUUCCCCGGGCGCAGGGGAUUUACGGCGGCAGAUUUACUCAGGAAUUAGCAACACCAACGAUCCAGCAGCUUGAUUUAUUAUGAAGAGAGAGGCUGCAAGAGCCAAAUAUGUGAAUUAAUUAUUGCUAGAAUAAAUCCUGCCAUCUUA